AUACGGAGGAUCCGAGCGUUAUCCGGAUUUAUUGGGUUUAAAGGGUGCGCAGGCGGGAGAUUAAGUCGGCGGGGAAAAUUUUCAGCUCCACUUUAAAAGAGGCUUCGAAACUGGGUUCCUUGGGUGUAGAUGAAGUAGGCGGAAUUUGUGGUGUAGCGGUGAAAUGCAUAGAUAUCACGAGGAACUCCGAUUGCGCAGGCAGCUUACUAAACUACUACUGACGCUCAGGCACGAAGGCGUGGGGAUCAAACAGGAUUAGAUACCCUGGUAGUCCACGCAGUAAACGAUGAUUACUAGCUGUUUGCGAUACAAUGUAAGCGGCUGAGCGAAAGCGUUAAGUAAUCCACCUGGGGAGUACGUUCGCAAGAAUGAAACUCAAAGGAAUUGACGGGG
rnacentral:rRNA from 1 species